GACGAACGCUGGCGGCGUGCUUAACACAUGCAAGUCGAACGGAAAGGCCCUGCUUUUGUGGGGUGCUCGAGUGGCGAACGGGUGUGUAACACGUGAGUAACCUGCCCUUGACUUUGGGAUAACUUCAGGAAACUGGGGCUAAUACCGGAUAGGAGCUCCUGCUGCAUGGUGGGGGUUGGAAAGUUUCGGCGGUUGGGGAUGGACUCGCGGCUUAUCAGCUUGUUGGUGGGGUAGUGGCUUACCAAGGCUUUGACGGGUAGCCGGCCUGAGAGGGUGACCGGCCACAUUGGGACUGAGAUACGGCCCAGACUCCUACGGGAGGCAGCAGGGGGGAAUAUUGCACAAUGGGCGGAAGCCUGAUGCAGCAACGCCGCGUGCGGGAUGACGGCCUUCGGGUUGUAAACCGCUUUCGCCUGUGACGAAGCGUGAGUGACGGUAAUGGGUAAAGAAGCACCGGCUAACUACGUG
rnacentral:rRNA from 1 species